GAUGAACGCUGGCGGCGUGCCUAAUACAUGCAAGUCGAGCGAACAGACGAGGAGCUUGCUCCUCUGACGUUAGCGGCGGACGGGUGAGUAACACGUGGAUAACCUACCUAUAAGACUGGGAUAACUUCGGGAAACCGGAGCUAAUACCGGAUAAUAUAUUGAACCGCAUGGUUCAAUAGUGAAAGACGGUUUUGCUGUCACUUAUAGAUGGAUCCGCGCCGCAUUAGCUAGUUGGUAAGGUAACGGCUUACCAAGGCAACGAUGGGUAGCCGACCUGAGAGGGUGGUCGGCCACACUGGAACUGCGACACGGUCCAGACUCCUACGGGAGGCAGCAGUAGGGAAUCUUCCGCAAUGGGCGAAAGCCUGACGGAGCAACGCCGCGUGAGUGAUGAAGGUCUUCGGAUCGUAAAACUCUGUUAUUAGGGAAGAACAAAUGUGUAAGUAACUAUGCACGUCUUGACGGUACCUAAUCAGAAAGCCACGGCUAACUACGUG
rnacentral:rRNA from 1 species